rnacentral:rRNA from 1 species
AACAGAGAAAAGAACUCAAAAACAAGAAAAAGAAGGCCCGUGGAACUGCCAAGGCUAAAGUGGGUGCUGCUGGCAAAAAGAGAUAGGUUAACUAAAUUAUUGCCUAAGGUUCUUUACAACUGGCUUAGGUCAGCUUCGAUUUUGUUGAUUCGAUUUUUGAGUUUGUCGACUUUUUCUUUAACUCUUUGGAACCUCAGUUUGGACUUUUCAAUUACUUGGCAAGCUGCUGAG